rnacentral:rRNA from 1 species
GACGUAGGUGGCGAACGUUAUCCGGAAUUAUUGGGCGUAAAGGGUGCGUAGAUGGUCUGAAAAGUUAGUAGUGGUAAAUCGAGGCCCAAACCUCGUGGAAACUAUUAAUACUAUCAGACUAGAGAUCAGGAGGGGUUAACGGAACUCCAUGUGGAGCGGUAAAAAUGUGACGAUAUAUGGAAGAACACCAAUAACAGCGAAAGGCAGUUAACUAUUCUGUUUCUGACGUUGAGGCACGAAAGCGUGGGGAGCAAAAAGG